rnacentral:snoRNA from 1 species
UGGUUGUGAUGAGGACAAUCUCUGAGCAGCCCCUUGAACCUCUCCCAAGCUGAAUAUAAAGACUCGCCCGACUUCUGUUUGAAGGCUACUAUCUUACUUCUGAUCUU